UCCCAGGCCCACCACUUUCAUCGAGUGAGCAUUCGUCUUCUGGUUACGGGGCCAUAGCUCAGCUGGGAGAGCGCGUGCUUUGCAAGCAUGAGGUCGUCGGUUCGAUCCCGUCUGGCUCCACCAGAUGGUUUGAUCACCGAGAUCUUGUACCGUCGUCCGCGAAACAUCACUUCGCAUCCUGCUAGUCUGGAUAGACAGCAAGAUGCGUGUUUUCUGACAUCGUAAAGAGGAGAUCGAUCCGAGUUGGGUCGUGCAGCGGAUUGUUGCGCGAAUCCUUCAUUAUCUCCGGAUCAUUUUCGGCGCUCGCUUUCAGCCGUGAGGUUGAAUGCGAGUUGUAAAAUGAUCCUUUUAGCGAAGCUUGACCGCCUCGCUAUCGGAACGAUCUUACGAAGCAAGCUGGUCUUUCUAGUCAAUGUCCGGCUGUGCGUAGCGUUCAUCGAGGGCGCGUGCCGUAAGGCAAUCGUACAGACAACAUUCUGCCGAGUGUGUGGACAUUGAUAAUGAGAGCAAUCAAGUGCCUUAAGGGUGUUCGGUGGAUGCCUUGGCGCUGAGAGGCGAUGAAGGACGUGCUACGCUGCGAUAAGCCGUGGGGAGCUGCGAAGAAGCUUUGAUCCGCGGAUUUCCGAUGG
rnacentral:misc_RNA from 1 species